rnacentral:rRNA from 1 species
UCGAGAAUUUUUCUCAAUGGGGGCAACCCUGAAGGAGCGACGCCGCGUGGAGGAUGAAGGUCUUCGGAUUGUAAACUCCUGUCAUUGGUGAACAAGGCCCGCGGUUAACUGCCGUUGGGUUUGAUAGUAGCCGAAGAGGAAGAGACGGCUAACUCUGUGCCAGCAGCCGCGGUAAUACAGAGGUCUCGAGCGUUGUUCGGAUUCAUUGGGCGUAAAGGGUGCGUAGGCGGCGGGGCAAGUCUGAUGUGAAAUCCCGGGGCUCAACCCUGGAACUGCAUUGGAUACUGCCUUGCUAGAGAGCUGGAGAGGAAACUGGAAUUUACGGUGUAGCAGUGAAAUGCGUAGAGAUCGUAAGGAAGACCAGUGGCGAAGGCGAGUUUCUGGACAGCUACUGACGCUGAGGCACGAAGGCCAGGGGAGCAAACGGGAUUAGAUACCCCGGUAGUCC